rnacentral:misc_RNA from 1 species
AAAAAAAAAAUAUAAGCAGCAUUAGGUUUAAUCUUUUAAACUAAGGCAAAUUAUAAUGUACUCCUUGUCAGCUACUGAGACUGGUAUGGGAAUCUUAAUUGUCAUUAGGUAGGAAAAAUGUGAUGUACUGGCCAAAUUCAUUUGUUUAUUGGAAAAUAUACAUUAAGAAGGAUAUUGUUCUACAUACUUCUACUUAAGCCGGGCCUUAGUGAGUUAUCUGGAUG